rnacentral:rRNA from 1 species
GCUCAGAACGAACGCUGGCGGCAGGYUUAACACAUGCAAGUCGAGCGCCCCGCAAGGGGAGCGGCAGACGGGUGAGUAACGCGUGGGAAUCUACCCUUGACUACGGAAUAACGCAGGGAAACUUGUGCUAAUACCGUAUGUGUCCUUCGGGAGAAAGAUUUWUCGGUCAAGGAUGAGCCCGCGUUGGAUUAGCUAGUUGGUGGGGUAAAGKCCUACCAAGGCGACGAUCCAUAGCUGGUYUGAGAGGAUGAUCAGCCACAUUGGGACUGAGACACGGCCCAAACUCCUACGGGAGGCAGCAGUGGGGAAUAUUGGACAAUGGGCGCAAGCCUGAUCCAGCCAUGCCGCGUGAGUGAUGAAGGCCCUAGGGUUGUAAAGCUCUUUCACCGGAGAAGAUAAU